rnacentral:misc_RNA from 1 species
GUGCUAUAAAAGAUGCAGUUGGAAGGCCUAGGCCAGACUUCUUCUGGCGCUGUUUUCCAGAUGGAAAGGAAGUUUACGAUAAAUGGGGAGAUGUUGUAUGCCAUGGUGACAAAAAUGUUGUCAGGGAAGGGCAUAAAAGUUUUCCAAGUGGUCAUACCUCCUGUAAGUAGAAUGCAUGUUCAUUAACGUUGCCUUGUAGAGCAAAAGAAC